AGCCUCCUUGUGCUUAGCACAGGCUGUGUUCCUACACUGACUGUAUAGAAAGAGGAAGGAGAAUAAAACUACCCUGUGUACACCUCAGCCUAGGCCACUGUGCCUGGUCUGUAUUGUGAAUGAGUAGACAUGG
rnacentral:snoRNA from 14 species